rnacentral:rRNA from 1 species
AUACGGAGGGUGCAAGCGUUAAUCGGAAUUACUGGGCGUAAAGCGCUCGUAGGCGGCUUGCUAAGUCGGAUGUGAAAGCCCCGGGCUCAACCUGGGAACUGCAUUCGAUACUGGCAAGCUAGAGUAUAGUAGAGGCAAGUGGAAUUCCGGGUGUAGCGGUGAAAUGCGUAGAUAUCCGGAGGAACAUCAGUGGCGAAGGCGACUUGCUGGACUAAUACUGACGCUGAGGAGCGAAAGCGUGGGGAGCAAACGGGAUUAGAAACCCCAGUAGUCC